ACUCUGAGAGUUGCUAAUGGCACACAACUGCCAAGUGACAGGUUGUUUGACCCCUUUCCUUGAUUGUGCUUCCCCUGGAGGUGGGACAAGGAAAUGUUGGGCAAGGAAGAGACAGAUCAUGACUCUGAGGAGCAGCCUGUCAGGGGAAGUUAUGAAGCGAUGGUGGAUUCCAGUGGCCUAAAUGGGAAUUACUUGCUUAUAGACUCAUUUAUAUCCAUAAUAACAUAUGCUAUCUGUAAAUAGUUGGGUAUGCUUUAGCUAAAUGUUUAGUAAAUUUGCUUUUAAUCUCAUCCAUAGAGCAUAAACAUUACAUUCUUCCCAGGAAACUUCUAGACAUACAGGCUCAAUUUAAGAACAAUGGCAAGGGAUUGACUGUGUUUAACAUGAAACCUACUGACUUUACUGACCAUCUCAGACUUUAUACUGGUGCCCAGGCUGACAAAGACCCCUCAGACUGGAUCUCUCCACUUUGUUGGAAGAAUAAUGAUAAUAGAAUUUAUUUUCAGCCUGUUCUUGAAACUUGCUGUUCCCAUUAAUCCUCAUUAUCCUCCUUUAGUCUUCUGAGUCAUCUCACCUGAAAGUCUUAGAGCUCUGCUUCAUUUUAGGAACCGCAGGCAACCAUGUAGGUAAAUAAAGUUUUUAUUCUUCCCUGAUCUCAUAAAAGUAGAGUUGUGACUCAGUUAUAUUCUCCAGAGAGCCAAAGUUAUAUGUGUUCAGGCAAGGAGUUAGUCACACAAACAGAGCGGGGUUGCUAAGCAAUGUAAUACACAUUUCAUUAAUUACAACAAUGGCACUUUUGCUGUCGGUGCCCUUGAUUAUGGGGGAUUCCAGGUUGAAGCCCUGAGGACAUAGGAACAGUGAGGUCCAGAAGGGCCCAUAUGUGGUGUCUUUUGGUUCAACCCCAUCAUCUUAUUUUUCCUUGUCAAAUCUUUUUGGAUGAUUUCACACUUUGUGGUCAGGAGUAAAACAGUAAGACAUGAAAAUGGGAGCCAGGGCUGAUGAGCGGGUCAGUCAGCUGAGAUAUUAACACAUUAGGGCUUUAUUUGUGUGCAGGCAUGUGAAAUAAUUCAACCCUAAAACACCCACAGCUGACUUCCCCUGUUUUUUUUUUUAAGGUUCCAGCUUACAUAUCAAUUUUUUCCAAAAGCAACCCCAAAAGGAUUAGGUGUUUUCUGGUAUGGAUAUUUGUUAUUUCUGGUUAUAUUAUUGUUGUUUCUUGUUGUUAACAUCUAAAACCCUACCAAGUUUAGGGAGGAAUUGUCUUAUAGUAGUAUUUGUGGGAUCCUUUACUCCUUGUACCACUGAGGAAGCUGUAGAGGGGAACAUCUUUCUCUCCCAACCCCUAACAAUCUAGGUCUCACCCAAUCUGACCCUACUUUUUGGAAUUUUAGAUCACAAGUGAGCGACACAAAGAUAAAAGAGAUGGCCAGAAUUCAUUUCCUGUUUCCAGGGGCAGGGGUAGCUGCCUCAUGGAAGAAUUGUUCUUUCCACUUGGUGUUUGGAGCCUUCUGGGAUCCUCCCAUUAUAGUAGGUAGCUAAUCAGGUAUGAGCAGGGCAGGAGAGGGCUCCCCCAACCCACACAAGGAGUGUUGGGCAACCAUCAGUGAUAGUCAGGUUGUUGUUAGCUGUCCCUCUAAAGUAAUAAUUGGUCACAGCCGGCACCAGGGAAGGGCAUUCUCCUAAUAGGUAAAACACACCUGAAACUGGUGAUCAGCGGCUUCCCAAUAAGAUCUCAGGAGUGGGGAGAAGUAAUGGAAGACCCCGGAAGUAUGUCAACAUAUAAAACCCCAAGUCAAGCGGUAAAGCCAUGCACUUGGUCUCUCAAAUUGCCCGCUUGGCCCUCUUCCAAGUGUGCUUUCCUUCCUUUCAUUACUGCUCUAAUAAGCUAACUUAGUUUUAAUAAACUAACUCCUGCUCUAAAACUUGCCUUGGUCUCUCCUUCUGCUUUAUGUCCCUCAAAUUCUUUCUUCUGAGGAGACAAGAAUUGAGGUUGCUGCAGACCUGUACGGAUAACUACUGCCAUUAACAUAUUUUGGUGCUGUGUGUCUCGGAAACCUUCCUCUGGUAAUACUCUCACCUUCUGAGCUUGCUCUUCCAGCCCUUCUAGAUCCUAUGAACCACAUAUUGAAGUCCCUCUCCCCAUAGCCUUCCAGAGAGUUUUUUUAUCUAAAUCAGCCUGAAUCAUUUCCCAAACUUGACCCAGGAACCCUGAUUAUGAGCCAUUUUCCCGUGAGCUCUCAAGAGCAUCUGUAUUAGUUUCUGAUGGUUGUUGUAACAAAUUAUCACAAAUUUUAUGGAUUCAAGUAACACAAAUGUAUUCCGUAACACUGCUAGAGGCUGCAAAUCUGAACUCAGUAUCACUGGAUUGAAAUCACGUAUUGGCAAGACCGUGCUUCCUCCAGAGACUCUAAGGGGGAAUUUUUUCCUUGCCUCUUCCAGCUUCCAGUUUCUGGUGGUUGCCAGAAUUCCACAGUUUAUGGUUUGUGGUUGCAUCAUUCCAUUCUCUGCCCCAGUGGUCACAUUGCCUUAUCAUCUUCUGUCUGUAUCAAACCCUUGCCUCCCUUUUAUAAGAACAUAUGUGAUUGUAUUGAGGGCCUACCCUGAUAAUCCAGGAUAAUCUCCCAUCUCAAGAUCCUUAACUUCAUCACACCCACAAAGACCCUUUUUUGCCAUAUAGGGGAACAUUCACAGAUUCUAAGGAUUGGGAUGUGGAUAUCUUGGGGGGCCAUUUUUCACCUACCCCAGUAUCCUCAACUGUAUGCUCAAGAGUUCUGCAGCUGUUGUGGUCCAUUUACUUGCCUGUCUCCUGUACUAGACUGUGAAUUCUUGGAGCUCAGAAGCAAUUUGUCGUGCCUAUCAUUUAUCCCUGGUGCUACCCUUCUGGUAGGCACACAAAAAUACUUGAAUGAAUCAAUAAACAAGUUAAAUUCAUGAUGCAAUUCUUAUUGCAUAUCUGUUUUUUAGCACAAGUUUGGAAAUUUAAAAAUUUAGGAGGAAAUUGUAUCUCUUGUAGUAGGCACAUAGGUUUCAACACUAUUUCUCUGUUUAAUAGAGUUCGUUUGCUUUUGAACUUCUGGUGGCUCUUCUCUACGAUAACCCUACGUCAGAAGACGUGAAGCAUGCAGACGCCAUCCAGCUCCCAGGGCAGACGAGACUCUCAUGACCUGCCAAAUGCUGCCAUUAAUUGCCAGUUGGUGCCGAUGUGCCCUGCCCCGCACCUUCAUGUCUGGUUGAGGGGACUGCUCCAGGGGUACCUGGUCCUGACAGUGGUAACAUGAACUCGAUCUCUGGACCAAUCAAAGGGAUCCACAAGGCUCUGACCUUUUCCUUCUGGACAGGGAAGGCAAGCAUGUUCUCAGAGAAAGGACUCCUCCUGUCAAAUGUUGGAUUCUUAAAGGACAAGGGCAUGACAAGAGCAAAGACCUUGGGAAAGCUGGUCUGUCACUGUUUGCAGAAGGUUCUAGAGCAGUGCUUCCAAAACUUGAAUGUGCUCACCAACUUCAAGACACAAAGCACAGUUCUGCACUGGGGCCUGAGAGUCUGGAUUUCCAGUAAGUUCCCAGGGGAUAGCUAAUGCUCCUGGCCCAUGGACUACUCUUUGAGGAACAAGGGCUUAUAUCAGUGAUUCUUAAGUGGGAGCAGAGAAGGCACGUAUAAGAACUGAAGGAAAUUCUUUCAGAAUACACAUCCCCCUCUUUUCCCACCAGGACUAUCAAAUUGGGAGAAAUGAGGGCACAUAUAUUUAUUUAAAGCUUUAUUGAGGCAUAAUUUACUACCAUAAAAUUCACCCACUUUAAGUGAACAAUUAAAUGAUUAUUUGUAUUAGUCGUACAACCAUCAUCACCACAAUCUUAUUUUAAAUAAUUUCCAUCAUCCCAAAAAGAAAACUUGCUGUUUGCCAUCAUUCCCCAUUUCCACCCCUAGCUCCAGAAAACUAUUAAUAUAUGAUCUGUCUCUGUAGAUUUACCUUUUCUGGACCUUUCAUAUAAAUGGAAUCAUUUA